CAUGGAACUUGGGGAACACUCCUAACCCUCCGCGGGCAUUGGUGCCCCUUGGUAACCAGAACGCACCCCAAGCCAGAGAAGCCUGGGCACAGAGUCCCCGCGCGCUUCGGGACGCGCCGUCGGAGCAGCCGGCGCCGCCCCGCCCGUUCCGCGCGCCCAGCGGCCGGGGUGGGGACUACAAGUCCCGGCGUGCCGCGCGCACGCUCCCCCCUGGGGUUCCGGAUGGUGAGCGGUGAAGGUAAGGCGAGCUCGCAGAGGCAGCGGCGGCGGCGGCGGAGACGGAGAGAGGCAGGCAGGCAGGGCGAGGGCGAGAGACGGAGGGAGGGAGCGAGCGAGGCAGACCAGACAGACAGACAGGCAGGCGGGCGGGCAGAGCGAGCCACCCGCCAGGCUGCGCUCAGCCCAGCUAACAGCGGAGAGAGCAGAAGGCAGGAGGAGGGAGGGGAGGAGGGAGGAGGGAGGGAGAGAGGGAAUCCAGCUACCACCACCCAAAGCCAGCGUCUGCUUUCUGUCCUCAUUUCCUUUUCCCACCCAGCUCGGAGAGCAGAGAAAGGCAGAGAGAGCGAGAAAUACAGACAGGCAGACAGACAGAUAGACAGACAGAGAGAGCGGGAGGGAGGAGGGCGGAGGAGGAGGAGCAGGAGGACUACGCGGGGCGCGUUCCCUCCCAGCCGGGCGCCCGCGUCGCUGCCGCCGCCGGAAGACAGACGCCCCCCAAAGCCCCUAGCUGGCUCGGACCCACGGAGCCAGAAGCCCAGCACUCCGAUGGGAGCUUGCCUGAUUGUCUACCCAUUGGCCCAGACACCAGACACCACCCAGCUGAGUGUGUGUAGAGGGCCCCAGGUGAGGGGCAGCACUCAGGCCUCUGUGGAGACCACCCUGGAGACGCUGGUGGAGACAGGCCUUUUCUGCUGAGCCAAGCCUCUGCACAGCCUGCCCAGGCGCUGUCCACGCCCCGAGGCCUGGGCUCAGGCCGAAGUUGCUCUGCAACAUCCCCAGCUGACAGCCAGCAACUGGCAGAGCCCCCAGGCACAGGGGCCCUUUCUCUUCCAGGUCAGCCAGGUGGGCACACUGGUGUGGGUGGGGUGGCACCUGGAGAAAGCUGGGCAAGUGGGCAGCAGGGGAGUGGGUUGAGUAUAGUCACCAAAUCAUGUGGAGAAUUCAGAUCUGUUGCCUAUCUUGUUGCCUACAGAGAUCUUCAGUGUGACAGCCCAAGCGGCAGAGCCGAGGGUGAGUGACUGGGGUUUGGAGUCCCAGGGAUGGGGGCAAGAAGGAGGGGUGCCAUGCCCAUGUUAGGACUUUGUUUAAGUUUGAUCUGGAGUGAUCACCUUCCCCUGUUGAUGGGCCUCCUUGUCAAAGGCAUUGGUCCUGCCUUCUUUAAACCUGUAGCCCGUGGAGAAGGGGGUUAGUUGUCUACAGAAACCAUUGGGGCCCAUAAGGGGUUUGCUAUGCACACAUGGUUUGGGAAAGGCUAGGGACCUGCAAGCAGCUUGGGUUUGGGGCAGGGCCUGGAGCAUGGUAAGGAGAAUGAGACCUUGG
rnacentral:lncRNA from 1 species